CGAGAGAGGGGGAAUAACGAGGGAAAGAUGGAAGGGACGUUGCCGUUGGUUCUGGAUGGUGUCGGCGGUGCUCAGAGAAAGAAGGAGGAGCGCGCGCUGACUGUCGCAAUGGGAGCGCGGGUACUCAAAAGAGCGGAGAGAACACCCUCGCAACAAUGCUGCCAAAGAUCCGCAAAAUAGCCGUCACAGAUUUAAACAAACCACUGACCGUGAAACACCAUGAUCCAGAAACUGCUGGAUGCCAGACUAGAGACACAAUAAAUAAUGUCUGUCAGUGGACACAGAUCCAAAACCUCUCUUGAAGUUACUGGAAGCGAGGAAGCGGUGGAGCACUAUUCUAUCUGACAUAGCAGCAGCAGCUCCCCCAGCUAAAAGAACAGCUAAUAUUUCCAACAUCUUGGAGCCAACAAACGACAACAUGGACAAGCAAACAACCAACGAUAACAUGGGACAUUUUUUUCAUUCGUACCCAAUACAUGGCAACAUUCAGAUCAACAUGAAUACAUAAUUGGCGUGUGUUAGUCACUCUGGAAGUGGUGCUAAUGCUCGUUUUUUUACAUACAUUUAUUGUAUGCUCGCUAGCUAGCCUGUGGUUCUAUUGCAUAGCAACCAGUCUAGCAACGCGACUUUUGGCAGGACUACUUUUUAUGGCAGAAUGUAUUUAUUUAAUAAAGCAACAUUUUCAA